GGCAACAGCUCAAUUUGAAUCUGGCCCCUAGGGCCCGAGUUGUAAUUUGCAGAGGAUGCUUUUGGCGAGGUGCCUUCCGAGUUCCCUGGAACGGGACGCCAUAGAGGGUGAGAGCCCCGUCUGGUUGGAUACCGAGCCUCUGUAAAGCUCCUUCGACGAGUCGAGUAGUUUGGGAAUGCUGCUCGAAAUGGGAGGUAUAUGUCUUCUAAAGCUAAAUAUUGGCCAGAGACCGAUNGCGCACAAGUAGAGUGAUCGAAAGAUGAAAAGCACUUUGAAAAGANGGUUNAAAAGUACGUGNAAUUGUUGAA
rnacentral:rRNA from 1 species